rnacentral:rRNA from 1 species
UACGUAGGGUGCAAGCGUUGUCCGGAAUUAUUGGGCGUAAAGCGCACGUAGGCGGCUUUGCAAGUUAGAGGUGAAAGCCCGGGGCUCAACUCCGGAAUUGCCUUUAAAACUGCAUCGCUAGAAUUGUGGAGAGGUAAGUGGAAUUCCGAGUGUAGAGGUGAAAUUCGUAGAUAUUCGGAAGAACACCAGUGGCGAAGGCGACUUACUGGACACAUAUUGACGCUGAGGUGCGAAAGCGUGGGGAGCAAACAGG